rnacentral:rRNA from 1 species
UACGUAGGCAGCGAGCGUUGUUCGGAAUUACUGGGCGUAAAGAGUGUGUAGGCGGUGCUCUAAGUUCGGUGUGAAAUCUCCUGGCUCAACUGGGAGGGUGCGCCGGAAACUGGAGUGCUUGAGCGUGGGAGAGGAAAGCGGAAUUCCUGGUGUAGCGGUGGAAUGCGCAGAUAUCAGGAGGAACACCAAUGGCGAAGGCAGAUCUCUGGGCCGUAACUGACGCUGAGGAGCGAAAGCGUGGGGAGCAAACAGG